rnacentral:lncRNA from 1 species
CAGAAAGAGAAGAAGAAAGAGACAAAGCAGAGGCGCCAGAAGAGAUUUGAGCAUCGGCAGGGGGGACUGGAGACGACUGACGGCACAAGGUGGGCGUCGAGGGCGAAGGAGAGGACUGCGAGGAAGAGCGCUCCUUGCAGCCCCCAAAGUCGACGAGGAAGUUCUUCUUUUUUCCGCCUGUCGCGUUGUAGAAGAGCGCGAGGACGCGGUCUCCCACUCGGCACACAGGAAGAACGCCUGCAGCGACGCACUCUUCGUCCACCGCGGCCAAAGAGCCAGGAGGAGAAGAGGCAGGUGCAAAAAAACCGGAAAAGCGACGAGGAGACGCUCCACGCUUGCCGGCUGGCGAGACACUCGCCAUUCUGGGCGGCGGCUGACAAGGCCAAAGCGGUUUCCUCGCGAAGCCGAGUGGCCCCGCCGAGCUCGAGAGCAACGAAGGAAAAACACUUGAGUCAGAGAGGACUGAGAACGAUUGCCGAGAGCAGAGAGGCGCUAGAGAGAGAGCAUCAGAGAACGCGAGAGGGAAGUGAGAGAACGGAGGGGUCGGAAAAAGAGGAGAGCUCGAAAGCGAAGCGCACGAACGAGACACACACAGACAACGAGAAGGAAGAGACAACAGACAAAACAGGGUUUCCCAAAACGGGCUCCGUUGUUUCCCAGAGACCGAUGCUCCUCUCCGCUUGCCCAGCAUCUCAAGCCUAGCGCUACAGGCGAUGUCUUUUGUCCCUGGAAUCGAUGGCGCCGACACUCCGCUUCCGUGCUACUUGUCGUUCUUCUCCGGCAGCUUGGCUGUCUCUCCCUCUUCCUCUCGCUUCUUUUGUCCGAUCUUUCCUUCUCCGUGUUACGUCUCCAAACUUUCUGCUUAGAAAGCGCCCGCCGACGUCGAGAGGAGGGCGCCGUCAGCGCUGCCAGUCUCUCCGGGGUUGCACAUGCUCGCAAGCUACGUCACAAACGUACAGACAGAUCUCGAG